rnacentral:rRNA from 1 species
GAUGAACGCUGGCGGCGUGCCUAAUACAUGCAAGUCGAGCGAACAGAUGAGGAGCUUGCUCCUCUGACGUUAGCGGCGGACGGGUGAGUAACACGUGGAUAACCUACCUAUAAGACUGGGAUAACUUCGGGAAACCGGAGCUAAUACCGGAUAAUAUAUUGAACCGCAUGGUUCAAUAGUGAAAGACGGUUUUGCUGUCACUUAUAGAUGGAUCCGCGCCGCAUUAGCUAGUUGGUAGGGUAACGGCUUACCAAGGCAACGAUGCGUAGCCGACCUGAGAGAGGGGUCGCCGACACGAGAACUGAGACACGGUCAAGACUCCUACGGGAGGCAGCAGUAGGGAAUCGUCCGCAGUAGGCGAAAGCCUGACGGAGCGGCGCCGCGUGAGUGAUAGAGGUCUUCGGAUCGUAAAGCUCUGUUAUUGGGGAAGAACAGAUGUGUAAGUAACUAUACACGUAUUGACGGUACCUGGUCAGAAAGCCACGGCUAACUACGUG